UGGUCAGAGCAGCAGAAAACCUGUCAAUCAAGGAAUGUAAGGCAACGAUGCUGGGGCUUUACAUGUAUAGUAUUGAUGCGCGUACAAUAACCGUACGUCGUAUGUAAAGGCAAUAGGCUAUAAACUGAUGUGAGUAGGCUAUCUAAAUCCAGAUAUUUACCUAGAGUGUAAAUAAUCCUGUGGGGUUUUGUAGAUGAUCCGCGUCGCGUACGGUCAAUGUGAUUCCUUUGUAGGCCCACUAGACUGGAUUCCCUUUGUCACUCGCUCAAAAAUGUGGCACGGAUUUUACAGUCGUAGGAUGACAGAUUACUCAAGUGUUGUGAAUGACACUUGUUUCAGGAGUGGCUAUGUGCACAUGUGUCAGCGAUGACCGAAGUUGAAGUGACGUAUGCAGACUUCAUAGCCUCCGGUAGAACUGGACGAAGGAAUGCCCUGCAUGAUAUCCUCCAAAGCCCCACUGACCCAAAUGCCAGCGAUCUCCCCCUGAGCCUAUCUCAACUCAACAUCAAUCCAACCGGAUCUGACAUGGAAGAAAGUCAGGAAUCGUCCACAAACGCUCUGCCACAGUCAGGGCAGAAGAAUCGGGGAAACUUUCAGGCCUAAACACUGAGUUGGGCCUGCACUCACCACCACAGUCUCCCAAAGUCACACAAACGGUGUAGUUCGUUUUGAAAGAAACUGUAGUCAACGGGAAAUCAUUAAACUGUGUAGAAUUCGACGCCCUUGGCUGGGUGAGACACCUGUUUUUAAUAUGGAGAUUGGGCCAAACAUCCACGUAUUUAACAAUGGAUUAGGGCUAAAGCCAGACUGAGGUUGGCAAAUAGUGAUUUAAGUCAUAUUUCAGGAUCCAUCUAACUUACUAAAGGAUGCAAGGAACUGCAAAGAGCAUAGAAAGAUCAGUUAUAAUGGUGCUGGUUGACAGUGGGUUUCCAGGUAGUAGAAACUACAGGUGGACUACAGUUUGUGGUUAGUAUGGUGACUGAAAGGAUUUGAGCAUUUUGAUCUCAUACUUCCUUCAGAAACAUCCAGACACCGCCCAAUUUUUUAACUCGUAUAUGUUAUACAGUAUACGUCAUCGAUCACAGGUUUUUAUUAAACAACACCACUACCUUGGAUAUCGGCAUUAUUUACAGAAUAGAUUACACUAGGUCUGUCAACAUCUUAAUUUGCGCAGUGUUUCUUUAAAAAUGCACGUACACUAUUUUAUACUUUUUGUAUGCUUUGUUUGGAGUUGUAGUUUACACCUGAGACUGUAUCACUAUUGAUGCCAACCACAGAUGUAGCAACCAGUACUUUAAGAUACACUUUUUUAAUUCCAAGUUAGUUUAACAUUUUGCAGUGCUGUUGUUGAAGCCAAGCACCACUAAAGUGGGUGUGUAUGUGUAAUAAAUGCUUACCAAAUGAUAUGAUGGCAUUAUGCACCAGGGUUGGGGUCAAUUCCAUUUCAAUCUAUUCAGACAGUAAAUCAAAUUCCAAUCGUUUUUUAAUUUAUUUUUCCUAAUUUCGUGGUAUCCAAUUGUCUCAUCGCUGCAACUCCCGUACGGACUCGGCAGAGGCGAAGGUCGAUAGCUGUGCGUCCUUGUGUCAAGAAGCUACACUGCUUCUUGACACAAUGCCCACCUAAAGCGGAAGCCAGCAGCACCAAUGUGUUGGAGGAAACACCAUACACUUGGCAACCGUGUCAGCGCGCACUACGCCCGGCUCGCCACAGGAGUCGCUAGUGCGUGAUGGGACAAGGACAUCCCUGCUGGCCAAACCCUCCCAUAACCCGGACGACGAUGGGCCAAUUGUGCGCCGCCCCAGUGUCUCCUGGUCAUGGCCGGCUACGACAGAGCCUGGACUCGAACCCAGAAUUUCAGCUAACUGCGCCACCCGGGAGACCCCUCAAAUUCCAAGCCCAAAUUUUCCUAAUUGAAAAGUAUCGUAGAGAUUUAGAAUUUCAGUGUACUUCCUAAAUUGUCUGGAAUUGACCCCAACCCUGUUACGCAUUGUGUAUGCCUAUACUUUCUAUGUAACAUGCUUUAAAAAGUCGCUGAUGGGCAAUUUCACUGAUGCAGUCAUACUAAACUCAGCAAAAAAAAGAAAUGUCCCUUUUUCAGGACCCUGUCUUUCAAAGAUAAUUCGUAAAAAUCAAAAUAACUUGAGGGCUAGGGCCAUUCCCCCCAG